ensembl:lncRNA
CCUACUCCCUAACAAGAGCCUCAACUCACCCGCCAGCUACCUUAUCCAGACGCUGUCAACCGAGGGACGCUGGGAGGUGUCAUACAAGCUAAAUGUGCGCAAGCGCAGCCUGUGCCAGCGACAACAGAAAAACCUAAUCUGAGAAAGGCGGGGCUUAAGGGGCGUGUACUCGGCGAAGUCUGCGAAGAAGAAAACUAUGGUGAAAACUGGAAGGCACUCAGGAGGGUCACCAGCAAGAAAUGUACGCCUCUGCUUGCCCCCUUCCUAGUCACUGCUCAGCAUUCUUGUCAGGGUUCCCGGCAUGGUGUAUGUGGGUCACACACAAGUAUCCCAUGGUGACAGCUGGAAAGGCAGUGGCUCUGUUGUGUGACUCCAUGGGGGAAGAUCUUCUUUCCCACACUCUAGCCAAGCAAUCUGUUGGGGAGCAUGGAGAGCCAAAUGUUUGUUUGUAGGCGACCAAGACAUUGCCAAGAUUACCCUUGGAAGCAUGCUGAUGUUUACUACACUCUAACUUGUGUUAUAGGCCCAGUGCCUACAAUUACCAUCAUUUCCUGGUUCGUCUUUUAUUCACUGUGAUUAAUUAUCUUUCUAAUAUAUCCUUGCCCGAUG